GCUUCAUAUUGGAGAAUGUGUGUAGCUAAUCGGGGAACUCUGCGUGCCAUGGCCAAAAAUCUUUUUCCCCGUAGUUCAAUGUGCGUAUCCGCUGAGGCCAUUACCGGUUACAAUGAUCCAAAGGGGGAGUGGGGUAGAAAGCCAGGCUCCAAAGAGGAGGCUAUUGGGCCACGUGUCACUGAAAUGCUUCGCCCUGCUGAUGGCCAGGUCACACUCGCUGUCCUGCGACCGGGGUUGGGCACGCGCAUUUGGAAAGCAAACCCGCCAGGGCCUGCUUCCUCAAGUGCAUUUUAUGACCACAAAGGCCAUCCCAGCCAGGAGCCACGUGAGGCAAGCCACCGACCGCAGUGUUAUCAGCCUCCAGCCAUUGUCUUUGGAGCAACUGAGUACCCGAGCCUAUUUCUUCACCUGCACAUUUUAUGAGAUCGGAACGUCCGUGAAGAAUUUCCGGAAGAAAGUGAGCAUCUGACCUGGGAUGGGCUGCCUGUGGACCACAUGCCCUGGGGGCUGCAGACUUAAUAGGAGGGAAAGGAUACAGAACAUCUCAUGAACAGCGUUCACGUUGAUUACACAUUGAAAUGAUAAUAUUCUUGGGAUACGUCGGCUUAAGUAAAAUACAUAAUUAAACUUAA